rnacentral:rRNA from 1 species
AAUUGGAGGGCAAGUCUGGUGCCAGCAGCCGCGGUAAUUCCAGCUCCAAUAGCGUAUAUUAAAGUUGUUGCAGUUAAAAAGCUCGUAGUUGAAUUUCGGGAUUUGUCAGUUGGUCGGGCUUCACUGUCCGUACUGAUUCGAUGGAUUCUUACCUUCUGAAUAACCAGCAUGCUAUUUAGUUAGUGCGUUGGGGAAGCAGAUCUAUUACCUUGAAAAAAUUAGAGUGCUUAAAGCGGGCUAGUGCUUGAAUAGAUUAGCAUGGAAUAAUAAAAUAGGACGGCAUGGUUCUAUUUUGUUGGUUUCUAGGAUCACCGUAAUGAUUAAUAGGGAUAGUUGGGGGCAUUAGUAUUCAAUUGUCAGAGGUGAAAUUCUUGGAUUUAUUGAAGACUAACUACUGCGAAAGCAUUUGCCAAGGAUGUUUUCAUUAAUCAAGAACGAAAGUUAGGGGAUCGAAGACGAUCAGAUACCGUCGUAGUCUUAACCAUAAACUAUGCCGACUAGGGAUCGGAUGAUGUUAAUUUUUUAAUGACUCAUUCGGCGCCUUACGGGAAACCAAAGUGU